CUACUGAAUCAAUUAAAAAAUUGAUAACAUAAGGGAAAAUAAUGAUAUUACCUUAUUAUUAGUGUCGUCCAAAACUGGUGCCAGAAGACUCGGUAAGGCCAGAGACAUAAACGUUAAUCGUCUUAAUCAGGCGUAAAGGGUUUGUAGGCGGCUUUUAAUUUUACUUAUAUAUCCAUUUUUUUUUUUUCGUUAUUUUAAAUUAAAAUUUAUAAGUACAGAAUAAAAGCUAGAAUCAAAUAUAGGAUAUAUUAAAUAAUGCUUAAAGUAGGUCUGAUAUCCAUAGAUAUUAAGUAGAAUAUUAAAGGCGAAGGCUUUUUUCCAUUAAUGAUUGACGCUCAGAAACGAAGGUGAGGAUAGGAAAUAGGAUUAGAUACCCCAAAUACCCCUCUCUGUCAACGAUGAAUGGUAGUUAUUAGUAAUAAAUUAAUUAAUGACAAUGUUAACACAAUAACCAUUCCGCCUUGUGAGUACAACUGCAAAGUUGAAAACAAAAAAAUUAGUCGGUUCGA
rnacentral:rRNA from 1 species